UACAGAGGUCUCAAGCGUUGUUCGGAUUCAUUGGGCGUAAAGGGUGCGUAGGCGGCGCGGUAAGUCGGGUGUGAAAUCUUGGAGCUUAACUCCGAAACUGCAUUCGAUACUGCCGUGCUUGAGGACUGGAGAGGAGACUGGAAUUUACGGUGUAGCGGUGAAAUGCGUAGAUAUCGUAAGGAAGACCAGUGGCGAAGGCGGGUCUCUGGACAGUUCCUGACACUGAGGCACGAAGGCCCAGGGGGAGCAAAACGGGG
rnacentral:rRNA from 1 species